rnacentral:tRNA from 1 species
GGGGAUGUAGCUCAAAUGGUAGAGCGCUCACUUUGCAUGCGAGAGGCACGGGCGAUCCCCCCAUCUCCA